rnacentral:misc_RNA from 1 species
GUUGCCGGACCCUCGAGCGGAUUCGGACCCUCCAGUAGUCCUCUACUGUCUCUCUCCACCUUCGUCCACCAGCACUGCUCCCGACUCGGUGCUGAACUCGCUAACCGAUUCGACGAAGCGAAACGGCUGAGUUCUAAAAUCGCCGCCGAUUUUAUGCAGCAGCCGCUGCCAGCGGCGAUAGGGAGGAGUUGUUCGUUGCCGUUGCAUUCUUAUCAUCUAUCUCUUCCGUUCGCUUCGGUGUCGCAGCGUCAAGAGAAGGUCGCUAAAAAUACCGGUUUGAGCUCGGAUUAUGUUGCUAAGACAUUAACUGGAACUUCUGUAUACACAGUUAGCAAUUCUAACAAUGAAUUCGUGCUCAUUUCGGACCCGAAUAGUGCGAAGUCAAUCGGAUUAUUGUGCUUCCGUCAAGAGGACGCCGAGGCAUUUCUUGCUCAGGUACGGUUGCGGAAGAAGGAAGUGAGAGGUGGAGCUAAGGUAGUUCCGUUGACACUUGAUCAGGUUUACAUGUUGAAGGUUGAAGGAAUCGCAUUUCGUUUUUUGCCAGAUCCCGUUCAAAUUAAGAAUGCAAUGGAGUUAAAAGCUUCUGAUGUAAAGACUGGAUUUGAUGGAGUCCCUGUUUUCCAGUCAGAUCUCCUAGUUGUGAAAAAGAGAAACAGACGAUACUGUCCAAUAUACUUUCGAAAGGAGGAUAUAGAAAAGGAGUUAUCAUCAAGGGCAUUGAGAGGAUCUAGUGUCUCUCAGCACAUCAUGGUAGGGACUUUGGAAGAUGUCCUGAAAAAAAUGGAGAUAAGUCAGAGAAAUUCUGGCUGGGAGGACCUUAUCUUUAUUCCCCCUGGUAAAAGUCAUUCACAGCACAUUCAAGAUGUUACUAAAGCAUAAAUUUCUUGCAAGCAGCUCCUGUUUGAAACAAAUCAAUAUAGAGGCAGGUUCACAUUCUCAUCUGCACUUGGUCGACCCGAAUAAUCCAAAUAGUUAAGCUCCGUAUGCUUUCUACCUCUGACUUGUUUUAUCAGUAGUUUCUAGAAGCUUUUACUAAUUUCGUCAUAUGUUCAGAUACUGCUGGAUUAGCUUUAAGAAGAUACAUAAAUGAUCAAGUUCUUGCUUGAAUAUUUAAUGGAGGGAACAACUAACAUGUUAUACAUUAAAAGACAAUGAGUUGGUAAACUAGAGGCACAAUUUACUUUGUAUCUGUCAUCUGUACAUUGCACAA